CUGUGGAAGCUUAUUCUUCUUGCUGCCUCCUGGGGAGUUUCUAUUUUUCUCUUGUUCGUCUGGAGGACCGUCCUUGCUGUAAAGCCUCCAGUGUGUCAAGUUACUUUAAAGCAGAUGACUGAGCAGAGCAAGAAUUUGGAGAAUGAAAACAGAGAACUUGCAGAAAAUAUAUCUGCUUGGGUGCAGAAGACCAACAACACAAAGAAAUGCUUAGAGGAGGCCAUCAGGCAAAAGAAGCUGCCCUCUGAGAAAGCACUGAAGUUUAAGGUACGAACCUCUUGUUAGAUUACAUUCUGAAAAUAGAAAUGAAAGUAAUGAGUAAUUGUUACUAAUUCAAUGUUUCAUUGAAUGAGAGCUUGAAAGCCAUUGAGAAGGUGAAUGAAAAUUUGAAUGACAUCAUUCAGAUUGUUCGAGCUAAGCUGCAGGCAGUGAGGGACCAGAACGCCAAGAG